rnacentral:rRNA from 1 species
GGGUGUGAAAACUUUGGGCUCAACCCAAAGCGUGCAUUCGAUACUGCCGUGACUAGAGUUCGGUAGGGGAGUGGGGAAUUCCUAGUGUAGCGGUGAAAUGCGCAGAUAUUAGGAGGAACACCGGUGGCGAAGGCGCCACUCUGGGCCGAAACUGACGCUGAGGAGCGAAAGCGUGGGUAGCAAACAGGAUUAGAUACCCUGGUAGUCCACGCCGUAAACGUUGGGCACUAGGUGUGGGUCUCAACCAACGAGAUCCGCGCCGUCGCAAACGCAUUAAGUGCCCCGCCUGGGGAGUACGGCCGCAAGGUUAAAACUCAAAGGAAUUGACGGGGGCCCGCACAAGCAGCGGAGCGUGUUGCUUAAUUCGAUGCAACGCGAAGAACCUUACCUGGGCUUGACAUGUACGGAAAAGCCGUAGAGAUACGGUGUCCUCGGGUCGUACGACAGGUGGUGCGAUGGUCGUGUUCGUCUAGCUCGUGUCGUG